UACGUAGGCAGCAAGCGUUGUUCGGAGUUACUGGGCGUAAAGGGUGUGUAGGUGGCUCUAUAAGUAUGGUGUGAAAUCUCCCGGCUUAACUGGGAGGGUGCGCCGUAGACUGUGGGGCUAGAGUGUGGGAGAGGAAAGUGGAAUUCCUGGUGUAGCGGUGAAAUGCGUAGAUAUCAGCAGGAACACCCGUGGCGAAGGCGGCCCC
rnacentral:rRNA from 1 species